GGUACCAUGUUAAUACUGGGGUCUGAAUCGGCAAACGAGGAUCUAACUCUUCCAAGCUAGGUUCUUAGUCUCUUCACCUUCUAGGUUCCCAAGAUGGAGGAGCUGUGGGCAAAGAAGCAGCCUUUCUGUUCAUGCCCAGAGCCUAAGCCCUGCCCUGAACCCACACUGGAAGUCUGUUGGGGCUUGUGUGGGCCCUGGAGUGGAUAGUCUGGCUGUGGACUGUGGAUGCAUUUAUCAGGGGAUGGUGCAAGCCAUCAUCGAGCUAGGGAUCACUAGAGAAAACGGAAGACCAAGAUAACAAAUGGUAAAUAUUUACAAAGGAGUACAAGCAAAGUGCCUGGGAUCACUGGCUCCUAGCACCUGACUACCGUCUGACCCUUUCCCGAAUUUGAAGCAGGUCAAUGGGUUAACUCACUCCUGGCACUGGCAAGUCUGUUUCCCACUAUCUGUUUGUCUGUCUUACCUCAUGCUUCUUAUCCCAAAUAAUUAGCAGACAGGGCCAGCCUUACCUGAAAAGUAUAGCAGAAAAUACAAAGGAUGUCACCUUGUAGGGCCUCCUGAUCAGCGAUCAGUAAUCUCUCUUUCGGUUUACAGGAAGCAGAACGUCUGAAUGACCCGGGACCCCGAGAUU
rnacentral:lncRNA from 1 species